rnacentral:lncRNA from 1 species
UGAAUCCGAUGACUACUUGAUGUUCGUUUUUGAUAGCUAUGCGAACCCUUUGCAGUUCCGUGGUUCCGAUCUGUAGUUGUUCUUCAUAUACCAAUCCUAGUUCUUCUGAGGGAAGGACGACGUAUUUGAUUCCUCGGAGUUUACCCUCUUCUAUUCCGUGAAUGUGAAAUAUUUCUAUUGUAGUGUUUCUGAUGUCGGGCGUCCACCAAUCACGUGAGGAGUAAGGGGGUGCCGAGUUUGGAUUCCAAGGGAUGCAAUCCUGGAGCUGGUAAUGCUGGAGGUCUGCACGCUAGCUUCCCGUUCUCUGUUGGAGGCAGGUGGUUGUGUACCAGUCGCGUCUAUUGUCAUCCCAUUUGUCUAAGAAUGAGUGUACGCCUUUUCUCGAUCAUUGAAUGAAUCGGUCCUUUUUGUCUUAGCCUAACAUUUUCUGCUCAACAUCUACUAUUCUGGGGUUGCCACAGAUCGGUUGGCGAAGGAUUUUGUAUAGUGGUGGAAGAGUUGAUAAGCCGUGUUGUAUGCUGCUCCAUGCUGCACUGGCGCUUCUCCACAAAUCAGAUCCUUGUGGGCAUACUUGUAAGUUGCUUCCUAUCACCCAAUGUUGACUCGGAUAUCACUGUCCGUUUUGUUUGAACCUGAUUGCUUCUAUUCUAUGUCUAACCAUGAUUUUCCAUGGUUCUAGACCAGGAGUAAGCCCCCUAGCAAUCAAUUUUGCUAGAAGUGCCCUAGCUUUUGUGGCGGGGCCAAUUAUCUUGAGUCCUCCUUGUGUCAUUAGUUGGAUUAUCGUGUCCCAUUUGACCUUAGCCCUUACUUUGCCACUUGUUAUCCCACCCCAUAGAUAGUUUCUGAUCAUAGCACGGAUCUGGAUAUAUAUCUUAGUUUCUGGAGCAUGAAACUAGGUACCACAUGGAAGCAAGUAUAACCUGGUUGAUUGCUAGUAAUCUUCCAGCUAGGGACAGCUUUUUGGAUCCCCACUUUACCAGCUGUUUGGUAAUUUGUUGUACUACCUUAUUUCCCCGUUCUUCCGCUGGUAAUCAAAAACCUAUAUGGAAGCCAAAGUACUUGACGGAUUGGCCUGUAGUUUUCCAAAUUAAGUUUAGAUCUUCUCCCCAAUUCCAGCUGCGUUCGUGUUAAGAUGCCCAGAUCGCACAAAUUUUGUACCAGUUGAUCUUUGCCCCAUAGGCUUCACAAAACCGAGUCAGAGCUCGCAUUGCUCUUGUGAGGUUUUCCGGGGAUCCUUUUAGGAACAGUGCAGUGUCAUCUGCGAACAUUUGAUUGUUUAGGGAUGAGUUGUCCGAUAGUGUGAGUCCUUGUACUUGCCAUUUGGGGUCGUCCAGCAUGUACCUCAGGACAUCUGCUACGAAUAAAAAGAGGUAUGGUGCCAAGGGGCAUCCCUGGCAAACCGAUCUCUCUAUUUUGAAUAAGGGGCCAUUUUGUCCAUUCAUCGUGAUCGUGGCUGCAGCUUCCUUGUUGAGGGCCAUGACUAUAUUUAUCCAGGAAUUGGAGAAUCCAAUCUGAGUAAGUGCUGCUUUUGAGAAUCUCCAGUUGAUCCGAUCGUAAGCUUUUUCAAAAUCUAGAAAUUAUUGUUCUCAACCAUUGGGUCUCUGCUGUAGAGGUCUUGGUAGUAUUGUUGUGCAUAUGAGGCCAUAUCUGCUUGUUGCAUUAGAAUUUGAUUGUUGUAGUUGAAUUCGGGAAUGUGGCCUCGUUUGCUUUUCGCAUUGUGAUGUGCAAAAAAUUGAACGUUGCAUCUGUCGUCGACCUGAGACCUACGAAUUGCUCGUAGGGCGGCUAUGAUUUUGAUCGCCCAGGUGUCGAUUGAAUGUUGUUGUAUGGCCUCUUUCCACGCUUGGCUCAACAUAAGUCUGCCCUCCUCGCUAUGUAACUAUCUCUUAUCGAAGAAGGGCUGUCGGGAAAUGGGAGGGCCUUUAUGUUUGAUCUUCAAAAAAAUUGGUGAGUGAUCUUGUCUUAAUGUUUGGUCGGUCUACCAAUUGUGUUAGUAGCCAUCCCAUAUUUCUUCCACCCUAUUGAUCCCAUUGAUGAACUAUGUGCAAAACCUCAAUUUGGCUUCUACUUCCAAGUUGAUGUUAUCGUCUGGGGUGAUUUUUGUUUUCAAGAAUAGAGAUUGUUGCAUCUUUUUGGCAUGUGUUGAUAAGAGCUUUGGUAAGUUUUUUUUGGAUCGUCAACCAAGCCAUCUGUAUUGCUUGCCAAAGGUUUGAGCCUUGAAGUUGUAUUUUGAGGGCCAUGAAUAGCCAACCAAAAUGUUCGCUCCAAUCUUUGUCCAUGCAAAGUUGUGUGUUCUUGAUCUUGUGCAAGAUGAGGGAUUUCCAAGGUUCUUCUUCUAAGACUAGGGCUCUUAAUAUUAUUUUGGCCAAGAAUGCUCUCGUUUGGCCCAGUGGGUUGAAUACCCUAAUCCUGUCUUAGGCUAUCGGGGCAAUUACUGUGUCCUAUGCCACUUUGGCCCUUAUCUUCUUGUCCAGGUGGCUUGUCCAUACAAAGUUCCAAAAAAUGGCUCUUAUCUUUGUUAGGACCUUUUGUUGGAUAAUGCUGCAUGAAGCCAAAUAUCAUAUGCUCUUGAAUACGACCUGAUUUGAUACAAGUAGUCCAAUUGGAAGAGAGUUUCUUGUUUGACCACUGUGCUAGUUUUUCGCAGAUUUGUUGCAUAACUACAUUUUUUUUCAUGAUGGACUAUUUUCAUGCUAGACUAUUUCAUGCCAAAGUAUUUGAUGUAGGUGCCUUGGAGGAGCCACAUGAGGCCCUUGUCCUCCCUCCAGGUCCAUGGUUGUGGAUCUUGUCCUCCCUCCAGUUCCAUGGUUGUGGAUCAUUGUUAAUUCAUAGUGCUCUUGCUUUGUUUCAAUUGACCAAUAAUCUUGAGGUUGCAUAAAAAAGCUCAAGUACCUCAAAAGUGUGUUGUAUGUUAUCUAGGGCUCUUUUGAGGUAGAGGGCCAUGUUCUUUGCAAAGCAUUGGUUGUAGAUUGUGUUGCCAUUUAGGAAACAAAAACCAUCUAUUACAUAGGUGGAGUCAUUUAUCAUGUAUGACAACAUAUCCAAUAUGAAGAGGUAUAAGUAAGGUAUUAAUGGACAUCUUUGUCUAACCAAUCUUUGAAGUGUGAAUUUUUGACUAUUUUGUUCAUUCGUAAGGAUGGUUGAAUGGACAUUUUGGUAGAGUGCCAUUGUCCAUUUCAUCCAUUCUUUCAAAAAUCCCUAUCAUAUUUGUGUGAGGUGGGUGCAAGUUGGUAGCAAUGAUUGGAAUCUAUUGGUGAGGACUUUGGUUGUCAACAUGUAUGUGGUUGUCAGCACCAUAAUAGGGUGGUAAUUCUUUAUGUUUGAUGUUGUUCUUCCUUUUGAUAGGAAGCUAAUUAGCCUGUUAUUGAGGAUUUUGUGAAAGCAUCUUUUGUUAAAAGCAAUGUUGAUGAAUAUAAUGAUGUUUUAGUCCA